UGUGUUUAAAAAAAAGACUGGAUGUGGCACUGGGUGCCAGGGUUUAGUUGAGGUGUUGGGGCAUGGGUUGGACUCGAUGAUCUUGAAGGUCUCUUCCAACCCAGUCAUUCUGUGAAUCUCUUUAAACAUCACCCAUCUUCAGCAGCUAAUGUCAAAUCCCAGCCUCAAGGGGCUCAAGGAAUGGUUUUGUCCAGCAAAAUUCUGGAAAAAAGCCAGCUGAGUAACACUUGGGGUAGUCAAUGCUCCACUGAGGACUGGCGAGAGCUCCUGGGGACAGCUGGGGUGGCUGCAGUCCCCCCGUGCUGGGCACCUGUGGCCUAACAACAGCAGCAGGAGCAGGAAACAAUCCUGGCUUUGUGCCUGACAGCAGCUGGAGGAAAAGGGAGGCAGGAAGGCAGGAAAGCAAUGCCGGCAGGCCUGGCUGGCCACAUGGGAUGUAAAACCCAGGGAUAUAUUUCUACAUAUAUGACCGGAGGAUGCUCAACCUGCCUUUCCGCUCAGUCCCAUAGGCUUCUUGGGACCAGGGAAUCAGGAUAUUUGAAAAAUACCUUCCCACCACUUAAUACAGGCUAUUUGGCUGCAUCUGCUGCUGAAUCCAUGAGUGUGGAAAGCAAGUGCUCCUCUCCUGGCUGGCUACAUUCUGGAGCUGCUCUGGGGAUGAAGCUCCUUGUCCAGGCUGUGUGAGCAUAUCCCAGAAUAUGCUGCUGCUAUUCUUACCUCCUGCUCCCUCCAGAUGAGAAUAGUUCCCAAAAUGACACAAGUCUCAGAUUUCCCAAUGCUUGGGAAAACAACCAUUUUCCUCAAACCAACAACAUAUUUCAGUGACAGAGACCCCAAAACCUCACUGCAUCCAUUGGGGUCACUCCCAGUGGUGGUGGCUUCAGAUGUCCCUCUCCAAGAGAAGAUGCUGAUGCCACUAGCCCAGAUGACAGCAGGAGGAGGACAAAGGUGUCCAGAGACAGCCCUGAACCGCAAGUGAUACCAGUGUAGGUGUUUGGGGUCACCUUGUCCCACAGCCUGCACAUGGAACACCCCAAAACAAAGUCACUGGGAAGAUGGCAACAAACUCCAUGACUCACACUGGAAUCCAAUGGCAUCACCAUGAUGCUAAUCUUGGCAGAGACCUUGCUCUGGCAUUGCUGCCUCCAGGUCUGCUCUCUCUCCUAAGUCCAGGAGGAUGAUGACUUCAGAUCAAUGACACCAUCAGCCCCUCUGGCACUCAGCAAUGCCCGAUAAAGGAGUGUUAUGGAGCUCUUCCAGCACAGAUAGGGUUUCCUGGGGAAAAAAACACCUAGGCCAGGAAAUGGAGUGGUGGUGUGAGGUUCAGAGGUCUCUGACCACAAGAAGACAUGCAAGGCUGGAAGAUGACGCCCAACUUCUAGCAUGCCUUUGCCUUGAGAGCUGUAGUGCUGCUAUCCUAGUAGCAAAACAAAAAAAACCCAACGUUGCAGGAUGUCCAUUAUGUCCCUUUUGAAUGUACCUGGACAGCCGGCUCCACCAGCUCCCAGUUCCUCCUGAGGGCAGCAGAUGUUGGGAUCCACAGGAGGAUCCACCCACGAGCCAUGUGUUCAAGGACUUGACCCACCAUUGGGUCUUCCAGAGCCUCCAGUGAAAAUUCUAAGUUCCACACCAUCAGGAAGGAUGGGGCAGGAUGAGACAGUGUGAUCCAACUGCUCCUCCACCUUUGAGGCAAAGGAAAGAAGGAGGACAACCAGCCAACCAAUCUGUGGUGGGUCCCAAGGGCUCCAGUGAGACACUCGAUGCCAGCAGGGGAGCUGGAAUGACCACAGGGAGAGUUUGGCUCCCAGAAACGAGAGUUUACCACAGUGAUCACAUCAUUGCCCACCACAAGGAACCAGCACCUGGAGUGCUGGGCAACUGGCUUCCUCCAGCCAUAAAUAACUUAUGCAGUUUAAUUAUUUGGACAUAGAAUUUUAAAAUCCAGUUUAAGGAAAUGUGGACUUUUCUUUUACACAGAGAAACCUUAGGGGAAAAAAUGAUGGUAAGAAAAAAUUUUGGGGAGAACAGCUGGCAAAAAGCAAGGCUACAAAAUCCAGACCUCACAGGGACCAACUGGGGAAGCUGACACUGUAAAGUUCAGAGCCCAGGCUGCAACUGCCUGGCACUUCCAACCCCAGAGCAUAACCAGAGCCCAUCACAGGGGGAUGGAUCGGAAAAGAGGCAGAAAUCCAGGGGGACCCCCAGGAUUCCCAUCCCUCCAUUAAAACAUGCACAUUUGCUCAUUACUCUUCUCACUUAAUUACUGCUUCGGGCAGUCAAUCCGUGCCCAGCUGGCUCAGCUGCAGCCAGAGCCUUUCCCAUGAGCUGCCCCAAUAGCAGGCUUUUAAUUUUAAAUGGGGAUUUUAUACAAGGAUAAUCUCUUCCAGCAGUGGUGAUUUCUGUCCGGGGAGGGAGUGUGGCCAUGUGUGACAGGGUCAACAGUCCAGGAAGGUCUACCACCACCUUCAAACAUUCCUGAAACAUUCAGUGUCAUGCUGACCAGAGUCUUCUGCUUCCCAGCAGAUGCAAAUAUUUAGGCAUUUUUUGGAAUACAAAGAGAUAAAGGAGUGAGGAUGAAGCAUUUGGGGAGCAGAUGCAAGGAGCUCAUCCAGAUACGCAUUUCUAUGAUCAACUACCCACCCAGGACCCACCUUUCUUGAGAAGCAUCACCCCAGCAGGAACACAGCAGCUCUUAUUCUCCUACUAGGAUAUUCUGAAAUUAAGCUCAGAUCUAGUGUUGGUGGAAAUUGCUCCUUGCAAUGCUUCUGGGCGAGCAGCAGCUCCCAGGAGCAGGAUGUGGCAUCCCUCUCCUGUUAUCCCCCCAGGAUGUCUGGAUCUUGCAAUGGUGCCAAGAGCAGCCAUGACUACAUGGACUCAAUUCUGCAUCUGAGGGACAUGCUGGAACACCAGGAAAAGCCAAAUCCCUCUUCCCAGGUGAGCAGCGCAGGGGUGAACAUACUUCCUGUAGGAACAGUCCCUAAAAACCCACUUCUCACCCCAAACUUGUUUUAAUUCCUUCUACUUGGGCGAGGGGCAGUCCCCAUGGGCCAGAGGAGCUGUGACAGCAGCACUGGGCACGGGAACACAGGUGCAUGGAGAUACAGGAUGGGAUGUGUGGUCUGGAUCAUGAUGGAUGAAAAAAGAAGAGACAUUCAGCAUCUUCCCCCACAUGCUGGAGGCUCUGCAAGCAGCUUUUAAACCCUAUUUCAGCCGUCACCUCUCAUUAAAAUGAUGGGAAUUAGGAUAAAAUGUCUCAGCAAGUGUGGCCUUUUGUCAUUGAAGCCUAGAGAGGCUCCUCGGGAUGCUCCCUAAGGCUUUGGCUUUUACAUCUCUGAUUUCUGUUGGAGCAAAUCUCUGCCUGAGCUGAUGCUCAGGAUGAGAGUGGGAAGCCUGGGCCAAGCUGCUCCAGGGACCAUUUACAUGCCUCUCAAAGGUCUCCUUCCCUCUUUUUUCCUCUCCUUCUGUUCAUUUUACCAGGUCUAAAAAUACUCCACUAAAAACUAUCUUCCUCUGCAGCCGCCUCCCUCCUGGAUGACUAAUAAUAUCUGUUGCUCCUUCUUGAUGUCUCUGUAUUUCCCAAGUCUUCCCCAAGGGAAGGAACCAAAUCAGGGCUCAACCAACUCCUUGGAUUCAGACUCCUAAAUUAAUUUUCCUCAGAGAAGGGUAUUUUUUUCCAUCUCCUCCAGUAUAGCAGCAGUUUAAACCCACCUCCUCAGCUCACAAUAAACUAAUCCUGCUCCACGGCUUACACCUGGCCAAUGCUGCUGAAGCAUUGUUCUGUAUGGGAGCUCCAGGAUCCUGGCAUUUUCAGAGCUCUAGGGAGACUAGCAGGUUCACUGGGAAAACCAUCAAGCACUUGGAAAACUAUUUAUUGUCUGUUUUUUUCAGGUUUCAAUUUUUUCCAGCAUCUUUCCAGCCCUGGAGCACUCCCUUGGGGAAUAUGCUGUGGAGGCUGGGUUAGGCUGGGUUUGGUGCCUGGUCCUUGGAGCUGGAUGACCAGCACUGGCUGUGCAAGGAACUUGCAUUUUAGGAGCAGGGGGUGAAUGCUGGGCACUGGGGGUGUUUGAGGUAGUGGGACUUAGUGGGGAAAAAAGCCAUUGCCACCAAUGUGGUGACAGCAAGGUGAGUUUUUCCUCUGAGUGGGAUGUUAGAAUACUGUAACAGGGAUUGGCUUUCCUGCACUGUUCCAUGUCUUUCCAAAACAGAGCCACGACCUGCACCAGGCACACUCCCUACUGUCAGCACCACAUCAUGGAUUAGUCAGGAUACAGGGAUGGAACAGUACUGGCAGGAGCUGGAGGUGUGAUGAGUUUCUCUCGACUCAGAUACUGCAGUACGGCCAAAUCCCUCAGGGCUCAGCCCACUGUGACUUUCCAAAGAGAUCCUCAAUGAACAACCUUUGGAAAACCCUCAUGCUGACACUGCUGAUGUAAAAAAUGUCCCCAAAUGGUCACAGUCCUGGUGAACCAGCCACUUCCAGCCCCAACCCUGCACUGCAUGGAGGCAGAUUUAAAGGGUAUUUGGCUGCCCCAACACUUCUGGAAAUCUCCCUGGCCGGCUAAUGCCCAAAUAUCUUUGCAAAUCUUUAUUUAGGAAAAAUAUCUGCUUGGGAGCAGUGCUUAAAAAGCUCAAGGCCAUUUUCAAAUCCGUGUAAUGCUGCAGUUUCCUGGACAUGUGAAAGUGAGAGGAAAAAGCAGAUCAGGCUGAAGCAGGCACAGGGCCAGGGCUGGUGGCUGUGCCCAGGGCUAUACUGGUAUGGAGUGCCAGGGGUUAUUUCAGCCCCAAGCUCCCUCAGCCGCUCACCACGACUGGACCAGCAUGGAAAGCAGGGAGGAGAGCAGUCCUUCCACAUCACCCCAGGCAGGAGAUCCAGAAGGGCUACCAGGGCCAUGGACACAGAGGUGUGGGUGAAGCUGCUGCUAGCCCGGCAGGGAGCCAAGCUCCAUUAGCCCUCCUGCCUUUACUGCCUUUACAGGAAGCCACUCGCUUGAGCUGUCAAUAUAGAGAUAAAAAAAAAAAAAAAAAAAAA